rnacentral:rRNA from 1 species
UACAGAGGGCGCGAGCGUUGUCCGGAAUCACUGGGCGUAAAGGGCGCGUAGGUGGCGGCGCAAGCGGGCGGUGAAAGCCCGGGGCUCAACCCCGGGUCGGCCGUGGAAACUGUCGGGCUGGAGGCCGGGAGAGGGCAGCGGAAUUCCCGGUGUAGCGGUGAAAAUGCGUAGAGAUCGGGAGGAACACCGGCGGCGAAGGGCGGCAUCCUGGACCGAGAUUGACGCUGAUGCGCGAAAAGCCCAGGGGG